AGGAAGUGGACCUUAAAAAAGAGAGUGAUUUUGCCCCAGUUCUUGUCUUUCGACUCUUCCCUGGAGCAAAUGGUGCUCUCUUCUGCUAGACUUCCCAUAAAAGAAUGGGGAAUGGGACAGUGGGUAUCACUCUUUCCCCCACCCUGGCUGCUGUCACAUGGCAACUAGAUCAGAAAGACUCAAGUAGACUCCCAUCAAGCCUCCAGUAAUGAUCUACCACCAGAGCCUUCCUCUAGGUCUUUUAACAUCUUGGGAGUAACAAUGAGUAAUGGGACUUUGGCAUAUGACUAGACUGCCCAAGAUGGUGCUAUCCUCUUAGAAGAUAUGUCAAAUUCCCUUUACAGAGACUGGUUCUCCUUAUCUUACUGGGAUAGAAGUGCUAUUACUGCUGAUUGGUAUGGAAACUUCACCCUGCUCUGUUUCUGACCUGGCCUGGUUCACCCUUCUUUAGGUAACCUGGUGGUUCCCCCCACACAGAGAGAAGAGUGUGGGAAAUUUGGGGAAGAACUUUCCUGGUCAGGAAGAUUAAGAUUUAAUCAAAGAUAGUAAAGAAAUUCUAAGUUUAGGCAAUUGGGUGGAUUCCUGCUCAUUGUGUCUACUCAGACAGGCCUGGGAAAGUGUGGAUUCUCCCUUUUGGCAGACAGGUGAUAUGGAAAUUGAUAAAUCUCUUUGACCAAGAUUUAGGUGCUCAGUGUCACCUACCUCAAGACCCUCAUUGGAAGAAGCCCACCUCUCAUCACAAUGUUCAUUCUCUUAUUACUUAUUAAUGAAUCAGAGUUGAUUCUCACCCUUAGAUGCAUCCCUUUUUCAAAAGACUUUAUAAAUAUUGAAGGUUUGACAGGCUUGGUCUCUUGGCUACAAAGGGGACAAUGAGCCUGUUUUGUCGACUGCUUUCUAGACAUAGUCAAUAAAAUUUAUUCUAACUUACUCAGAAACUCUGUCAGAAAUUUUCAAUCAUCACAGUUGGGAUUUAGAAAUCUGUCUUAACCAAUAGCGAAAUAAAAUGGGA